GUAACGAGCGCAACCCUGUCCUUAGUUACCAGCACGUUAUGGUGGGCACUCUAAGGAGACUGCCGGUGACAAACCGGAGGAAGGUGGGGAGUGACGUCAAGUCAUCAUGGCCCUUACGGCCUGGGCUACACACGUGCUACAAUGGUCGGUACAAAGGGUUGCCAAGCCGCGAGGUGGAGCUAAUCCCAUAAAACCGAUCGUAGUCCGGAUCGCAGUCUGCAACUCGACUGCGUGAAGUCGGAAUCGCUAGUAAUCGUGAAUCAGAAUGUCACGGUGAAUACGUUCCCGGGCCUU
rnacentral:rRNA from 1 species